CUCCUGCCUCAGCCUCCUGAGUUAACUGGCAUUACAGGUAUGUGCCAUUAUGCCCAGCUCUCAUUUCAUUCAAAAUAAAAACUGGAGCCCUUACAAGUCCGAACAAAGGCUCGAUCUGCCAUUCUCCCUGCCCAGACAUGCCUGACCUCAUCUCGGACCCUUCAGGCUCUCCACAUGACCCACUGCUGUUCCUGGAACUAGUGGAACACAGUUGGCUUCAGGUCUUUCCCACUGGCUGUUUUCUCUGUUACUGUUCCCCAGAUACAGAAUGAUUCCCCCUCAGUGUCCAAGGGUUUGCUCCAUUGUCCCCCACCUUGGUAAGUAGCCAAACCCCUCACAUGCACACCCUGUCCCACCUGCACUACGCUCUGUUUUCCUAGUAACAUUCCAUUUCUAUCACAUUAGUUUGCCUAUUUUGCUCUCUGUUUUCUCCCAGUAGAACAUAAAUACAAAGAAGACACAGAUUUUUAAUCCUUUUAAUUCCCCUGUGUAACCCCAGUACUUAGCACAGGAGUUAACAGAGCAAACCUGGGUACACAGUGUAUUCGUAGCAUGAACAAAUAUCCUGUGAAAGCAAAGUCCUUCUAGAAAAAUCCCUUCCCAGCCCAGUUACGAAGUCUCUGCAGGCUCAGGACCAGGAUUAUCAAUUACAUUGUGAUCAUUUGUUAAUGACUUCCCACUUCUCCCUCCCUCCACAAGGACAAAGUCCUGGUGCCAACCAGGCUAUGUCUCGCAUGUUUAUAACCAGACCCAACCUGGUAUCCACCGUCCUGAGCAGGGCUUUCAGGCCAAACCACACCCAGUCCCUGCUCCGCAAGGACGCUCACCCACUGGUCUCAGUUUACAGAGGCCCAAGGCUGCUGGGGGCAGAGGCAGGUGGUGGGUAUUUUUAGGCAUGGGUCCUCAGAAAGGGGCUCAAAGACAGAAAGUCACCUGGCCUGGUGACACGGCAGGUCAACAGGUGGCCCUGGGAACUUUCCUUGGUUGCUCCUCUUUGGAGAUACAAGCCUCUCCGGUCGGGGUCUUUGCUCAGGAUUUCCAAAAGGAAGAAAAGAUUUGCCCCUGCCUCUCCCUAUCUCCACCCAUCGGCCCCUUCUCAGAGGUCUCCCCAUCUCUGUCCUAUCUCCUCUCCAGGCCUGUGUCCACCACCCUGGUUUUGGCCACCUUAACUCUGGACAGUUAUGGCAGUCUCCCAGCCCACUGGCUAACGAAGAAGAAAGCCUUCCCUCACCGCAGGCACUAGCCCUCUCUACCCAGGAAACAGCUAGGACCAAGGCAGACUACCGCCUGGUUCCUCUGUUUUCGUGCAGUACGGGAGCUUGAACCCAGGGCCUCCCACAGGCCAGGAGAGCGCUGAGCUACAUCCCAGCACCUUUGUUUUGAGAUAGGACCUUGCUAAGUGGCUG
rnacentral:lncRNA from 1 species